rnacentral:rRNA from 1 species
AACGCGAAGAACCUUACCCAGGCUUGACAUGCAGUGGACAGCGCCAGAGAUGGCGCCUUCCUUCGGGACCGCUGCACAGGUGCUGCAUGGCUGUCGUCAGCUCGUGCCGUGAGGUGUUUGGUUAAGUCCAGCAACGAGCGCAACCCUUAUCGUUAGUUGCCAACAUUUUAGGUGGGAACUCUAGCGAGACUGCCCGGGUUAACCGGGAGGAAGGUGAGGAUGACGUCAAGUCCGCAUGGCCCUUAUGUCUGGGGCUACACACGUGCUACAAUGGUCGGUACAGAAGGCAGCAAAACCGCGAGGUGAAGCAAAUCCCAAAAAGCCGGCCCCAGUUCAGAUUGUAGUCUGCAACUCGACUACAUGAAGAUGGAAUUGCUAGUAAUGGCGAGUCAGCUACAUCGCCGUGAAUACGUUCCCGGGCCUUGUACACACCGAUAGC